rnacentral:rRNA from 1 species
AUUGAACGCUGGCGGCAGGCCUAACACAUGCAAGUCGAGCGGAUGAAGGGAGCUUGCUCCUGGAUUCAGCGGCGGACGGGUGAGUAAUGCCUAGGAAUCUGCCUGGUAGUGGGGGAUAACGUCCGGAAACGGGCGCUAAUACCGCAUACGUCCUGAGGGAGAAAGUGGGGGAUCUUCGGACCUCACGCUAUCAGAUGAGCCUAGGUCGGAUUAGCUAGUUGGUGGGGUAAAGGCCUACCAAGGCGACGAUCCGCAACUGGUCUGAGAGGAUGAUCAGUCACACUGGAACUGAGACACGAUCCAGACUCCUACGGGAGGCAGCAGUGGGGAAUAUUGGACAAUGGGCGAAAGCCUGAUCCAGCCAUGCCGCGUGUGUGAAGAAGGUCUUCGGAUUGUAAAGCACUUUAAGUUGGGAGGAAGGGCAGUAAGUUAAUACCUUGCUGUUUUGACGUUACCAACAGAAUAAGCACCGGCUAACUUCGUG